rnacentral:rRNA from 1 species
GACGAACGCUGGCGGCGUGCCUAACACAUGCAAGUUGAGCGACGAACCAGGGCUUGCCCUGGGGCAAAGCAGCGAACGGGUGAGUAACACGUGGGUAACCCACCCCGAUAACCGGGACAACCCGAGGAAACUCGGGCUAAUACCGGAUGUGCUCACUGGACUUCGGUUCAGUGCGUAAAGGAAGCUUCGGCCUCCGUAUCGGGAGGGGCCCGCGGCCCAUUAGUUUGUUGGUGAGGUAACGGCUCACCAAGACCGCGAUGGGUAGCUGGUCUGAGAGGACGAUCAGCCACACUGGGACUGAGACACGGCCCAGACUCCUACGGGAGGCAGCAGUGGGGAAUCUUGCGCAAUGCGCGAAAGCGUGACGCAGCAACGCCGCGUGGGGGAAGAAGGCCUUCGGGUUGUAAACCCCUUUCAGGAGGGACGAAGGUUCGGCGGUGAAUAGCCGUCCGGACUGACGGUACCUCCACAAGAAGCCCCGGCUAACUACGUG